GAUGAACGCUAGCUACAGGCUUAACACAUGCAAGUCGCGGGGCAGCAUGGGGGUUGCUUGCAAUCCCCGAUGGCGACCGGCGCACGGGUGAGUAACGCGUAUUCAACCUGCCCUUCACCACGGGAUAACCCGGCGAAAGUCGGACUAAUACCGUAUGUUGUCCAUUGACGGCAUCCGAUUUGGACGAAAGGCUUGGCGGUGAGGGAUGGGGAUGCGUCCGAUUAGCCAGACGGCGGGGUAACGGCCCACCGUGGCUACGAUCGGUAGGGGUUCUGAGAGGAAGGUCCCCCACACUGGAACUGAGACACGGUCCAGACUCCUACGGGAGGCAGCAGUGAGGAAUAUUGGCCAAUGGGCGUAAGCCUGAACCAGCCAAGUAGCGUGCAGGAUGACGGCCCUAUGGGUUGUAAACUGCUUUUAUGCGGGGAUAAAGUGGCCCACGUGUGGGCUUUUGCAGGUACCGCAUGAAUAAGGACCGGCUAAUUCCGUG
rnacentral:rRNA from 1 species